GUGGGGAAUAUUGGACAAUGGGCGGAAGCCUGAUCCAGCCAUGCCGCGUGUGUGAAGAAGGCCUUUUGGUUGUAAAGCACUUUAAGCGAGGAGGAGGCUACUCUAGUUAAUACCUAGAGAUAGUGGACGUUACUCGCAGAAUAAGCACCGGCUAACUCUGUGCCAGCAGCCGCGGUAAUACAGAGGGUGCGAGCGUUAAUCGGAUUUACUGGGCGUAAAGCGUGCGUAGGCGGCUGAUUAAGUCGGAUGUGAAAUCCCUGAGCUUAACUUAGGAAUUGCAUUCGAUACUGGUCAGCUAGAGUAUGGGAGAGGAUGGUAGAAUUCCAGGUGUAGCGGUGAAAUGCGUAGAGAUCUGGAGGAAUACCGAUGGCGAAGGCAGCCAUCUGGCCUAAUACUGACGCUGAGGUACGAAAGCAUGGGGAGCAAACAGGA
rnacentral:rRNA from 1 species